rnacentral:lncRNA from 1 species
CCAUCAUUUACUUUUCUUUCUUUCCUUUUUCCUUUUUUUUGUUUUUGUUUUUGUUUUUUUUGUUUUGUUUUUUUGUUUAGAUGUGAUGUGGAAUGUCACUUUGAUGCAUUGUAAAUAGUUUGGGUACCAAAUUAUUAUGGAUGACAAAAAUAGGACUCUAGUGCUAAAAACAAAGUUCUUAAGCAUCGGACUCUACUGAUUGGACCAUGAAUUUCUAUGGGCCAAAAUGUUGUUUUUGAUGUAAAAGUAAGAACAAGACAUCUAUCUAACAUUGGAACAGAACGAACAAAAUAGAGGCAACCAAAUGCUAUUCUUUGUGAUUAAAAAAAAAAAAAAGGAUUGAAAUGCAAGUCUUAUUAAACUAUUUGUUGGGCCAUGUGACAACGACUGUUUGGUUUUCAAGUAGACUAUUUGUUGGGCCAAUGUCUUAACAUUAUUUAGGUGCAGUGCAGGAUAGAUUCUGGUAUCUGAGAAGGCAAGGGACAAAUUAUUUGGGCACACUGUUUUUCUUUCUUCUUCUUUUUUUCUUAUAAAUAGCAACACUUUUCAUGCUUUUAUUUUAAAUAGUGCUGGUCGAUAUGGGAAGCAGCUAGAUGCAUAUGGUAUAUCCCCAACAUUCGGUUGAACAUAAUCAUUUGUCUUUCUUACAAAAAAAAAAAAACAAAACAGAAUCAUUUCUAAUAGAAAAUGAUCAGACAUACCUUACGUACUCAUUUGUGUCUUUCCCCAUCACUAUGUUUUUCUUAUAAAUCAGCAUUUUGUGCGGCGCAAAUGGACAUGCGAUGUGGUUACAAAAUGGUAGUUUCAAUGUGUCAUCAAAAUUUGUGGGCGGCAAAAGAGAGAAGUGUCUUGAUUAAUCUUCUUUGGCAUUUUAUUUCCACAUUGUGUUUCAAAGCCCCCAAAACAAAAAUUCGGUGAUUACAACAAUGAAAUGGAGUGCUUGCCAAGAAGAGAGCAAAGUAAUGCAUGUUUGGCAAUCUUUGUCAACACUCGAAACUCAAAAGGGCCAAGUGACGACAAACAGGUAAUCCAUGUUGACAUCCCACGGCCUAUCAACCUAAUGAAUCCAACUAAAAAUGUAGCUAAGAUAAGCUUCAUGGUGCAUUGGAUUCAUGAAAACAUUUGCCUGGCUCAUGUCUGUUUUAGGUGAGGCAUCUUGCAGUUUCCUUCAGUAGCCUCCAAGGAAUAUGACAAUUUGAGAGGUUGGGAAGCGCACACAGAACAGAAGUCAGAACACAACAAUAAGUUAACACUGGGGAAAUAGUUAAUCAGAACAUGAUUAUUAGACAAAGAUAUUCUAAACAUAGAAAAGAGUCAUCGACUCCUAAAUCAUUGAACCAAAAUAUUAUAUAAACAUAAUUAACAUUUUCUUAAAAUAUCCACAGAUAUUAGGAUUGUUGGCCACUUCUGUUCGGCCUCCCAAAUGGGCUUUUUCGACUCCUACAAUUACAGCUAAACUUUGGCCUUCCUCUUAGUUGAAUCAUAGAGGUCAAAUGAAAUCCAUCCACACUUUGAGCUAAAGCUGAAACCAAAGGGCUCCAAAGACUUUACUCAAAUCCAAAUCGCACCAAGUCAUCAUACUUGAAAUAAUUAAUCACAUCUACGCUCUCUU